rnacentral:rRNA from 1 species
GACAGAGGGUGCAAACGUUGUUCGGAAUUACUGGGCGUAAAGCGCGUGUAGGCUGCUUGGAAAGUCGGAUGUGAAAGCCCUGGGCUCAACCUAGGAAGUGCAUUCGAAACUUCCAAGCUGGAGUGCUGGAGAGGAAGGCGGAAUUCUCGGUGUAGAGGUGAAAUUCGUAGAUAUCGAGAGGAACACCGGUGGCGAAGGCGGCCUUCUGGACAGUUACUGACGCUGAGACGCGAAAGCGUGGGGAGCAAACAGG